rnacentral:rRNA from 1 species
UCCUACGGGGCGCAGCAGUAGGGAAUCUUCCACAAUGGGCGAAGGCCUGAUGGAGCAACGCCGCGUGAGUGAUGAAGGCCUUCGGGUUGUAAAACUCUGUCUUUUGGGACGAACGACUGUAAGAGGGAAUGCUUACAGAGUGACGGUACCGAAGGAGGAAGCCACGGCUAACUACGUGCCAGCAGCCGCGGUAAUACGUAGGUGGCAAGCGUUGUCCGGAAUCACUAGGCGUAAAGCGCGCGCAGGCGGCCAUUUAAGUCUGGGGUGAAAGCCCGAAGCUCAACUUCGGGACUGCCUUGGAUACUGGGUGGCUUGAGCAUCAGAGAGGCAAGGGGAAUUCCACGUGUAGCGGUGAAAUGCGUAGAGAUGUGGAGGAACACCAGUGGCGAAGGCGCCUUGCUGGCUGAUUGCUGACGCUGAGGCGCGAAAGCGUGGGGAGCAAACAGGAUUAGAUACCCCGGUAGA